rnacentral:rRNA from 1 species
AUUGAACGCUGGCGGCAGGCCUAACACAUGCAAGUCGGACGGUAGCACAGAGAGCUUGCUCUUGGGUGACGAGUGGCGGACGGGUGAGUAAUGUCUGGGGAUCUGCCCGAUAGAGGGGGAUAACCACUGGAAACGGUGGCUAAUACCGCAUAACGUCGCAAGACCAAAGAGGGGGACCUUCGGGCCUCUCACUAUCGGAUGAACCCAGAUGGGAUUAGCUAGUAGGCGGGGUAAUGGCCCACCUAGGCGACGAUCCCUAGCUGGUCUGAGAGGACGACCAGCCACACUGGAACUGAGACACGGUGCAGACUCCGACGGGAGGCAGCAGUGGGGAAUAUUGCACAAUGGGCGCAAGCCUGAUGCAGCCAUGCCGCGUGUAUGAAGAAGGCCUUCGGGUUGUAAAGUACUUUCAGCGGGGAGGAAGGCGGUGCGGUCAAUAACCGUACCGAUUGACGUUACCCGCAGAAGAAGCACCGGCUAACUCCGUGCCAGCCGCCGCCGUAA